ensembl:misc_RNA Y_RNA Y RNA
GGCUAGUCCCAAUGCAGUGGUGUUUACAACUAAUUGAUCACAAGCAGUUGCAGAUUUCUUUGUUCCUUCUCCACUCCUAAUCCUUCAAUUGACUAGCCUUAA